CUUGAGCUCGAGUUUAGCAGCGCAGCACCAUGUCCACUAUGCAGCCACUAAUUAAGCUACCGCGCCGCUUUCUUUUUUUUUUCUUUUUAAAGGGUCCCUCACCAGGUCUGGCCACUUUGAGCUAGCAAGCGCAGAGCAUACAUUGCAUGAUAACAAACGUGUCUGCAAAGUACUACAUUGCUAGGCGCCGCGGAAAGAUCUGAAAUUUCAAACCGAAUGCCGUUUUUCCUUCUUCUCACGGCCGCCACGCUCCAAGCCGGAGGAUGACGUACUCAUGUGCCUGCGCCUACGUACUGGUGUCAGCAGUGUGAUGUCGCUCGUGGUGACACGUGACUUCGAGAAUUAUUCAAGAUAACAUCUGUUAUCUGUGCGAUCUGUUGCUUGAAUUGACGAAUUGAAGUUUAGAGACAUAAUAAAACACACAAACCGAAUGUCUGCGUGUUCCUUGUUUUACUUCGCACAGAAGCAAGAGAGAUGUACUUCUGCUUCAUCUGCUUGUUCCCACGGUCGUGCGUGAUCAUGCUCUGCGAUCUGCUUGUUCUGCCUCAGUAUUCGUGUAGCACUAAAUUAUACCGCUAGUCAUGUUUCCUUGUGCACAGCACACAAUAUCGUGCGCUGCGCAAACGAGACAACAGCUCAUGCGUGACGCCGUCGGUGGAAAUG
rnacentral:lncRNA from 1 species